ACCUGGCUAGCUCAGUUGGUAGAGCAUGUGACUCUUGAUCUUGAGGUUGUGAGUCCAAUCCCCACACUGGGUG
rnacentral:tRNA from 1 species